CCAAGAAGCAGUCUUUGAUGGGCCAUUUAACACACAUGCUCCAGAAGCAGAAAUCUGGCCCACACAGCACCCUAUGUUGCCUGCACUGUCCUAACAGGUGAAAUGGGUCUGAAUGUUUGGUCUGACAACAGCAAGGUUUUAAAUGGUGUGAGAGACACAGAAAUGCUGACAGCCGGUGGUCAGUUCUCCCUGCUAGCUACUCAACACUGAGAACUUUUGCAGGACUGGGUAGAAAUGUAACUUUGCAAAUAGGUUUUGGGAGGUGAUAACCAUGCCCAAUGCUAUUUAACUAAUUCUCCCAGUAAGGCAGAGUGUUGCAAUCCUGUCUAUUCCUUGGGAUAUACCCAGAGAAUGUGAGUACUGAGAACUAGGUAUCAGGGUAGAAAUGGAGGUCUCUUUGGUAUGCGCUUAUAUACUCAGUGCACUAUACUCAGCUCAUGCUCACAGCUCAGAACGGAUGCAGAGGCUGAGGUUUCCUAGCCCAGCCUCCACAUCACCCCAUCAGCCAUUUGGCCUCUCCACCAAGCAGGUUUUGCUCAGACAGGCUAGGCCACUUGGUGCUAGUCUCAGAGCUCGCCACGUCAGCUCCUCUGACUGCAGGACGGGGUGGAGAAUGGGCACAUGUCCCCUGCAGCCAGCUCUGCUGUGCUGGCAGUCACUUCCAAAGAUGGAGAGUUGGAAGAAAGAUGGUAUGCUGUGUCUCGGUCAGGGUGCACUGAGGGCUGGCUGCUCCCUGCAGCACACUUGGGAGACAACUGUGCAGCUUUAUAAGGUUGUAAAUAACCUUCCCUUUCUCUCAAGGAAACUCCUUGCCAGUAUUUGUGUUAGUCUCUAUCAUCUGCUACACUUAAACGUUUUUCACAUUAAAUACCUCAGUGAAUUCAAAACCAGAACUAAUACAUGUAAUAACUGUAUCAGACUAUAUCACUAAUAGUGAAGUGUCAAAAGUCAGGCUGGUACCUUUCAGAACAGCAGACUUCAAGCUCAUGUAAAUGCUUUUUUACUGCAGCCAUCUUCUUGCCAAGUCUUGACACUAAAUCUGCAGAGCUCAUGUAGAGGAACUGUUAGAUCAGGGCUUGAGCUGGUGAUUGAGCACCUGGUGAAGGGGAAUCCCUGAACCAGGGAAGCAGAGGCAGAUUGUCAGCACCUGUGCCCUCCCUGUGCCCAGAAAGGGUGGACCCAUGGUGGAGCCAUGCUGGGCUCAUAUAAGGGCAGCCACUGUAGGGGGAGCAUUUCCUAGGCCUAGGUCGCUUCUUCAGGAGUGCUGUAUGACCAGAGAGUACUUUCAUCAGUGGGAACUCCCCUGGAAAUAGAAGGAAUAGUAUUAUCAGUACUACAAACCUGGGAAAUGAAUGUGAAACCUGAACUGACAGAGCAACUUAGCCAAGCUCCAGGCAGGAUAUCUCUAGCACGUGCUACAACAGAGUGAUUAUAAACAGCUUCUACAAGCUAAAGCCUUCAGUUAUCUUCAAACUGUCAGCUGCAGGCAGGGAAGAGUGAAUGAAACCUUGUCUAUGCCACUGAUUGCCAAGAAGAAUAAGGCUCUUCAAAAUGCAGCAGUAGUAAGAAAAUCUAUUUCUCCCUACUUUCCAUCCUGGCCUGUUAAGUUUCUUCAGCUGUCGUGCCAGUGACUUGUAAGCGUAAGCUUGUAUGCUGUGCAGUAAUUUUUGUUUGUUUCAUGUCGGACUAUAGGGCUGCACCAAAAGACUUCUGACCUUUUGGCCUUGGGCACUUUUUCUCCAGCAGAAAUUGCUGUGACAGUUUGUCAGGAGUUGCAUUAAAAUAGGAAAGAAUAGGAGUGCUGUUCAUCUUUACCUUUUAGUCGUUCCCCUCAUGUUCUUCACUUAAGUAAAUCCACACAUUGCUCUGUUUUGUUUUCAGUUCCUAUUUGCCCCCGUGCUGAGAGUGCUGGUCUCCAUGAACUAGUCCAGCAAUUGAUGACACUCGAUGAUAUCUCAGCAUCCAGAAAUCCCGAAAGCAUGCUAACUAUACAAAACGCUGCCGUAAGAACUGGCUGAGGUGGCAGUCUUUUUUUCCCUCUUAAAAGGAUGCUGCCACUUGGUGUUCCCAGCAUGCAUGUGUUGUUGUCACUGUGGGCUCCAAAGGGAAGUUAAGCGUGGAUUUUGAUGACUGACAAGAGAGUUUCUUCUUUUUUGACCUCUCAUCUGACUAGAAAAUGAAUGUUCUUGCAGAUAUUACUGUAAGGCCAAGAAAGGGGAAAGAAAUUAUGGAAGGAUGCAUUCAGAAAAUGAAUGACAAGAAUGGAAAAAGGAACUUAAAAGUCCAGAUUCUGAGGCAGAAUGAGUAGCAGUUAACACGGCAAAUGGCAAGGACUCAGAAAUGCUGUGGAUGUGCAGAGCUUGUAAUAAACAGACUUUCAGUGCCACUUGUAGAACUCUUUAAGUCAGCAGCUGGAAAGCAUGAGGAGUAAGAAGCUUAUUUAUCAGGAACUAAGUGUAAGAACACAUCCUUCUCUCAAAAGGCCUAUGGGUUCCUUUCAGGGAUUCCCAUGAGAUCUAGCAACGUCCUGUGUUUUGUCUACACCAGUGUUCUGAAGUAUAGCCUUCAGUCAUACCAGUCCUCUUUGCCAGCAGUGAACGAGCUUCACGCCCUGUAAAUCCUUUGAGUACAUUAUGUUUAAGUCUAUGUAUUCAGAUUCUUUGAAUAUUCAUUUUCUUGGCCUGAAAAUAUAGAAGUCUAAUGCUUAUUAAUUCAAAGUGUGUUUACAUUUUAUUCCCAUUAAAGCCUCCUGCAUAGUAAAA